GUGAUAUGUUACGUGUUCUGCACCGCAUUGAUGAGGAUGCUCAAUUUAAUAGAUUCUUCUAACUUAUGAUUAAAUUGGAGCUACAUCGGUAUUUGAGUAUUUACAACAACGAAGAAAAAUUAACAUGGACCGUAUAGCGCUACUGUGCCUCUUGCUUGCCUUCCUGAUGUCGGUUGUCAGCGUCUCUGAAGGUUCCAUGUGGAAAUGCUGCGGCAACUGUCGGCGGCUGGCUCAGCAGUGCAUCAGGUUCGGUAAAAAUAGCUGUCGGUGUCGGGGUAAGAUGGCGAUCAUUGCAAAAAGCGCAUAUCCGGUGCACGGCAACGGAGAUAUCUUUGAGCGACAAAAGAGUAAGCUCUCAAUGUCCGACCGUGUGUUAUUGGACGAAAAAUUAUGAUUCAUCUUAGUCCCCGUGGCUUUAUUCUGAGACGGAACAUGCAUUCUACCAAUCAAGAUAAUACAGUUUCCGGAGACACACUAUUGAUCAGUGGGAAGACAAAACAACAACAACAACAAUACAAUAACAACAAAAACAAUAGAAUAAUGAACACUUUUAAUACUUGUAAAUGCGUAUAGUCUUUAUUUAUUGUAUAUAUUAUAUAAAAAGUUCAUAUCCUUUACUAUAUCUUUGUUAAUUAACAGUCUUAUGUGUUUAAGGCAUCACACAUAUUUCAUGUUUAAUAGAAUUACUUUUUCAAUGAUACACAUGAAAUUUCUUUUCAAUGCAUUAAUAUGAGAUUCAAUAAUAAAUAAACAGCUGGCGA